rnacentral:lncRNA from 1 species
GGCUGCUCCCGCGGCAUAUGGAGGUUCCCAGGCUAGGGGUCUAAUCGGAGCUCUGUAGCCCCUGGCCUGCACCAGAGCCACAGCAAUGCAGGAUCUGAGCCGCAUCUGCAACCUACACCACAACACACGGCAACGCCGGAUCAUUAACCCACUGAGCAAGGGUAGGGACCGAACCCACAACCUCAUGGUUCCUAGUCGGAUUCGUUAACCACUGCGCCAUGACAGGAACUCCUGUGCUUCCUCUUAUCCCUGAGGCCACUGAAUGAUGGAAGCUGCAGCUCACACACAUGCUCUGGUUCCUCCACCUGCACAGAAUGCGUCUCAGGGUCGUGUUCCUGCAGCCCCAGGGCACAGUAGGCGCAGAUGCUGCCUUCCUGCCCCCAUCAGAGAAAGCUGGGCGCUUACCUGGUAGGUAGGCGCUCUGGGAGUCUGGGAUGCUUGUCUUGGGCUUAGGGCAGCACAGGGAACUUCUGAAUACCAUGAGGCCUCUUAAGGUGCCUGAAAAUGUUGGAGGGUUCACUGUGCAUGGCCAUGAGGAGAAGGGCCGAGCACUGGUUGUGACUCCAAAUAGGUGAAGAACCAGCUUCUAUGAAUGUGAUCACAACUGGGAGAUUUUAGGUUAAGAGUUCAAAGCACAAUUUUACCUUCGGUGAAAAUAUUUUCCUGGUCUCUGAACCAUACACAGGAGCACUGGCAGGCAUCUGAUCUGACAAAGGUACCGAGUGUGUGCUUUAUUUGUCGUAAUUGAAGCUCUCUGGCAAGAUCUUGGAUGGAGGGUGGGGGAGAAGUUUCUACGCCCCCUUCUCAUUUCCGGUUUUGGUGUGGGAUCCCCCACCUCCACUGCCGCUGUCUUCUGAAGUUAGACCAACAGGCAAGAGCUGUGUGUGCUUCCUGGCACUUGAGGGUCCAGGCUAGAAACCGCCACCCCCAUAUCAAUAAAAAGUUACUGGGGGGAUUCUGAAAGGGAAAGCCCUGUCAAAAGGCGUUUCCUCCUUUACAUGUUAUGUCAGCUUUGAUUUAUAUAUAUUUGAUUGAGGUAUAAUUGAUUUACAAUAUAUUAGUUACAGGUAUGUACAACCAAAAUUUUUGUAGACAGUAUUCCACUUAAAGUUAUGAUAAAAUAUCAGCCAGAGUCCCCAUUCCAUACGAUAUAUCCUUGCAGCUUAUUUUAUAUAUAGAAGUUUCUACCUCUUAUUUAUAAUUUAUAAUACAAAUAAUUAAAAAGUUAUAUUUUUUAGCUUACUGAUGAUUCAUAACAGUCCGAUUUCAAUGUUGAAAACAUAUACAAUAUUCUUUCUAGUAUUUCUGCUGAUGGUCACCCAGUUUAGAAGUCUCAGUCUUAGAAAUAAGUGGUUUUGAAGCAUCUGAGUUUGGGAGUUUCCUUGUGCUACAGUGGGUUAAGGAUCCAGAGUUAUCAGUGCAGCCACUCGGGUUGCUGCUGUGGCGUGGGUUUGAUUCCUGUUCCGGGAACUUCCACAUGAGGCCAAAAAUAAAAAUAAAGAUUCUGUAUUUUACAUGGGGACAUUUGAUGCACACCAGGCUUGUGAGUGGUGUAGACAGUCAGUCUGGUGGUGGCUGGACCCCUGUCACAUGAGGGGACUUGGGAGUCAGGGGACAAGUGAACAGCCUUUCACACGAGUCCUGAUAGGAACUCAGUAAAUGUCACUAAACGAAGGAAAGGCAACAGCAGGUAUUUCAGAGAUUUCUGCAGAAGAACAUCAUGGAGGGGUCCCUUCUGAUCGGCCCAGAGGCAGCAGUGCUGUUGCCAGUGGAAGGCCUCCCGCCCCUCGGCUGGGGAAACAAAGUCGGCAGGAGAGGCCGGGAGCUGAACCCUGCUCAUCUGUCUGUCCUUCCGAACAGGCCCAGGAAGAGCGGACAGGCCACACCCUGAAAGCUGUCCUCAGCCACUCCGCCAGGAGGGACCUCCUCAGAGCAGAAGGUCCCACCUGAGCCUGGUCCACGCUGGCUUCUCUGUGGAGAUCCAGGGACUGUAGGUGGUGGGUUUAUGAGGACAGAGUGCCGCGCAGCAGGAUGCCCUGGCCAGGGCACAGGCCAGCCCACCCAGGAAUGCUCCCUGGCCGGGUGUGGGGUCAGGCCUCUGUCACAUCUACUGGGCUACUGGAUUGCCCACUGGUGUGGUGGCCCCAGGCCUGCGAUGACAGGUGCUGGGGUGGAUGCAGGGCUCAUUCUUGGCCACUGCCUGCAGUGUUGGCUGCCCAGCCCCCAGCCCAGCCCAUCUAGGGGAAGCUGCCUCAUGGCCGGCUGCCUUGGCCUCAGCUGGACCAACCUUCAAGGCCAUUUGGGUCCAGGCGUCCUGCGGGACCUGCUUUCUGACUGUAUCCAUGGUUCGAAGCCCUCCCUUUGCACAUGGCUUCUUCACUGGGCCUCACGCGGGUGCCCCUGGGUGCCUCCCUAUGGACCCUAGGGAGCCCAGGGGCCGACCAGCUGUCACUUGUGAUGUGGGCAGCUCAGCUUUGCCACGACGUCAGGCUGUGCCUGUUUUCCACAUCUGGUCUUCAGGAAUGAUUCCCGAAGAUGCUGCUGAGACACCCCCUCCCCUGCAGAGGAUACCUCUGGCUGGAAGCCUGAAGGGUGUGUGGGGGGUUCCUGGCGCGACUCCACUCAGACUUGACCAAGGGUACCCCGUCUUCAGAUACCACUGACUCCCCUCCCUCGGUUGCAGUGGAUCACUGUCAUUGAGGGCAGAGCUGGCCGUGCAGAGUCCUGUGCACAGAAAGCUAAGGGCUGGGGGCUGGGAAGUGCCCCUCCCUCAGAGAGUUAUAGGAAUCCUGGAUGAAAUGCAGUGCUGUGACAUCGAGCUUAGCCACUCGGCCAGUGAGUCCAUCAUUUGCGCCCGUGAAGGCUCUGGGUCCGUGGUGUCCUGGUGACAAGCACAGUGACAUUCUAGGAGGGUGACAGAUCCGGAUCCCGAGAGGAGGGGGCUCGGGGAUCUGUGCACCCAGGGCUCCCCUGACGGAGCCCAGAUGUCCUCUCACUGGGCUCAUCCUGAUCUCAUGCUUUUUGAUACAACCUUCAUGGUCAGUACAGUACUUUCAGUGAGGUCUAUGAAUUUUUCCGGGGAAUUAUUGAAACUGCCUGGGUUGUGGGAACCCCUGGAUUUGGUCAGAAGUGCCAGUGGUCCCCAAGACUUUGAAGUGAGGAUGGCUUUUAUCUUCACUGGCGGAAGAUGCCAUGCCUGGCUCAGACUGCAGCAGCCAGAAUUAUUUCAUGGCUGGCUUUUUCAUCCUCUGCUGUUAGCCUCUACGGUCUGUCUGGAUGUUUAGGGGCUAAGCUGGCCAUCUGGUGGGCUUGCACUGAGGACCAGCAUUGGUACAUCUAGUAUGGUUUUCAAGGUGGUUCCACCAGGGUGCAAAGCCAUCUUUGGGGCUGCAGUGUUGGCAGCAUGGGCGGGAGGCAGUGGUCAGAGUCAUUCAUGUGGCUUUCCCCACCUUGAGAGCCAUCCCUUCAUGUGCCCAGGAGUCAGGGCAUGGUUCCUGUCAGCUCUCCGUCAGUUCUUGACAGUUAUCACUUGGGGGAGGAGAGAUGACCCCUGGGUGGGUCACAGACUCACUGUCAGCAGAGCUGAGUCAGGAUCCAUUUGUGACCAGGUUCCUCCUCCUCUAACCCUGGUGAUGCUCAGGGUAUCUUACCAGCUCUGCCAC